AAUGCACCAAUUUGUAAGUCGCUCUGGAUAAGAGCGUCUGCUAAAUGAGUUAAA
rfam:Salmo salar isolate Sally breed double haploid chromosome ssa12, whole genome shotgun sequence.